UGAUCCACCCCCCUUGGGCUCCCAAAGUCUUGAAAUUACAGGCGUGAGACACUGCGCCCAGCCAACUGGUGGUUUUAUAAAAAGAGCAGAGAAAUAUGAACAAUCAUGCGCAGCCCCUUCACCAUGGGAUGCCCUAUACCACCUGGGGACUCUGCAGAGAGUCCUCACCAGCAAGAAAGACCUCGCCAGAUGCAGCCACUCAAACUUGGACUUGUCAGCCUCCAUAAUUCUUGGCUUGAAGGAGUACUUUAGGACUCAGAACAACAGGAUGAAGACAGCAGCUAAAAUAGAACACACCAGCAGAGACAUUCAGCUCCUCGAGCUGUGCUUCCGAAGCUCGAGCAUGGCAGAGUGGCCUUGUUAAAUCAGAGUUCAGGGUGCCACCCUGACAGUUUCUGGUUCUGUAGGUGCCCAGUAGGGACCAAGAAUCCUUUUUUUUUUCCUUUUUCUUUUUAAUAGAGUCAGAGUCUUGCUGUGUUGCCCACAUGGGUCUCAAACUCAAGCAAUCCUCCCACCUCGACCUCCCAAAGCACUGGAAUUCCAGGCAUAAGCCACCGUGCCUGGCCAAGAACAUUUUUUUUUUUUUAACAAGUUUCUAAAUGAUGCUGGUCUACUGGUCCUGGGACCACACUUUGAAAUUGGUGGGAUAGGGGGCUGGGAUCUUUAUCCAUUCACUCAACUCCCAUUCCCCAUGGUUGAAAGUUUCCCUGGGGCAUCCCUGGGAGGCCUGGGGGCUGACAAGAUUCAAACUUUUUGGUGAAAAGCCCCAAGACAGUGAAGUGGGGUGUGCUUGAAGUGGGGCACCGUCAUCACCCACCUACCCACCACAGAGGUGGGCUAAAAGGUAAGGUGUGGCUCACAAAAAUCUUCUGCUAAAUACCUAUCUUUGCCUCCAUUUCUUCCUCUUUAAGACGGGGGUAACUGUACCAGUGUUCUAGGGUAACAUGUACCACCCUUGAAUACAGUGUUGCUCCCUGUCAUGACUCACGGACAGGUUACCAGACCGGAGCCUCCAGCAAUCCAGGAGCACAAACAAGGAUGCCUUAAAACAAAACUUGUGUCAGGGUACCCUUCGCUGCCUCAGAGGAAAUCAGAAUGACCUGGUGGACAACUGUUCAUAAGGACAAGAGCCAGCAUCACUGCCUUUGAGUCCCAGCCUCCUCAAAUCCAUUUUCUGCCCUGCACCACCUCAUCAUAUCCCAGAUAUUGUUAGUGUCGUGUCAUUUCAUGACUCAGGAGCUGCGGGUGACUUUGGUAAGAGCGGAGCGGUCGCUGUCUCAUCUGUCACCUCCUCCCUUCACCUCUGUGCAGCCAACAUCCAGGGAGCCUGCCUCUUGCUGUCCUUUUCAAAGCUUUCUGGGUCUCUCCUCUGUGCCUCUGAUCCAGUCUUUCAUGCUGCCCAGAACACUGUCUCUUUCUCCCAUGCCAGUGACAUCCAUUACUUUCUUCAAGGUCUGGCUCAAAACCCAGCACUCAGCCAGGCACGGUGGCUCACACCUGUAAUCCCACCACUUUG
rnacentral:lncRNA from 1 species